UUGAGAGUUUAUCCGGCUCAGAACGAACGCUGGCGGCAGGCUUAACACAUGCAAKCGAGCGCCCCGCAAGGGGARCGGCARACGGGUGAGUAACGCGUGGGAACGUACCAUUUGCUACGGAAUAACUCAGGGAAACUUGUGCUAAUACCGUAUGUGCCCUCGGGGGAAAGAUUUAUCGGCAAAUGAUCGGCCCGCGUUGGAUUAGCUARKUKGGUGGGGAAAGGCCCMCCAAGSGRCGRAMCAMAACUUGGGUUWGRGGAUGAUCAGCCACACUGGGACUGAGACACGGCCCAGACUCCUACGGGAGGCAGCAGUGGGGAAUAUUGGACAAUGGGCGCAAGCCUGAUCCAGCCAKGCCGCGUGAGUGAUGAAGGCCCUAGGGUUGUAAAGCUCUUUCACCGGKAAGUUUAUGACGGUAACSGGAGAAGAGGCCCGGGYWUYUUU
rnacentral:rRNA from 1 species